AUUGAACGAUGGCGGCAGGCCUAACACAUGCAAGUCGAGCGGAGCGGCGGACGGGUGAGUAAUGACUAGGAAUCAGCCUGGUAGUGGGGUACAACGUCCGGAAGCGGGAGCUAAUACCGCAUACUAUCAGAUGAGCCUAGGUCGGAUUAGCUGGUUGGUGGGGUAAAGGCCUACCAAGGCGACGAUACGUAAAUGGCCUGAGAGGAUGAUCAGUCACACUGGAACUGCGACACGGUCCAGACUCCUACGGGAGGCAGCAGUGGGGAAGAUUGGACAAUGGGCGAAAGCCUGAUCCAGCCAGGCCGCGUGAGUGAAGAAGGUUUUCGGAUUGUAAAGCCCUUUAAGUUGGGAGGCGUUACCAACAGAAUAAGCACUGGCUAACUUCGUGCCAGCAGCCGCGGUAAUAC
rnacentral:rRNA from 1 species